rnacentral:rRNA from 1 species
GACGGAGGAUGCAAGCGUUAUCCGGAAUGAUUGGGCGUAAAGCGUCCGCAGGUGGCAGUUCAAGUCUGCUGUCAAAGACCGGGGCUUAACCCUGGAAAGGCGAUGGAAACUGAAAGGCUAGAGAGAGGUAGGGGUAGAGGGAAUUCCCAGUGUAGCGGUGAAAUGCGUAGAGAUUGGGAAGAACAUCGGUGGCGAAAGCGCUCUACUGGACCUCAUCUGACACUCAGGGACGAAAGCUAGGGGAGCGAAUGGG